GGCUCAGGACGAACGCUGGCGGCGUGCCUAAUACAUGCAAGUCGAACGAACUCUGGUAUUGAUUGGUGCUUGCAUCAUGAUUUACAUUUGAGUGAGUGGCGAACUGGUGAGUAACACGUGGGAAACCUGCCCAGAAGCGGGGGAUAACACCUGGAAACAGAUGCUAAUACCGCAUAACAACUUGGACCGCAUGGUCCGAGUUUGAAAGAUGGCUUCGGCUAUCACUUUUGGAUGGUCCCGCGGCGUAUUAGCUAGAUGGUGAGGUAACGGCUCACCAUGGCAAUGAUACGUAGCCGACCUGAGAGGGUAAUCGGCCACAUUGGGACUGAGACACGGCCCAAACUCCUACGGGAGGCAGCAGUAGGGAAUCUUCCACAAUGGACGAAAGUCUGAUGGAGCAACGCCGCGUGAGUGAAGAAGGGUUUCGGCUCGUAAAACUCUGUUGUUAAAGAAGAACAUAUCUGAGAGUAACUGUUCAGGUAUUGACGGUAUUUAACCAGAAAGCCACGGCUAACUACGUGCCAGCAGCCGCGGUAAUACGUAGGUGGCAAGCGUUGUCCGGAUUUAUUGGGCGUAAAGCGAGCGCAGGCGGUUUUUUAAGUCUGAUGUGAAAGCCUUCGGCUCAACCGAAGAAGUGCAUCGGAAACUGGGAAACUUGAGUGCAGAAGAGGACAGUGGAACUCCAUGUGUAGCGGUGAAAUGCGUAGAUAUAUGGAAGAACACCAGUGGCGAAGGCGGCUGUCUGGUCUGUAACUGACGCUGAGGCUCGAAAGUAUGGGUAGCAAACAGGAUUAGAUACCCUGGUAGUCCAUACCGUAAACGAUGAAUGCUAAGUGUUGGAGGGUUUCCGCCCUUCAGUGCUGCAGCUAACGCAUUAAGCAUUCCGCCUGGGGAGUACGGCCGCAAGGCUGAAACUCAAAGGAAUUGACGGGGGCCCGCACAAGCGGUGGAGCAUGUGGUUUAAUUCGAAGCUACGCGAAGAACCUUACCAGGUCUUGACAUACUAUGCAAAUCUAAGAGAUUAGACGUUCCCUUCGGGGACAUGGAUACAGGUGGUGCAUGGUUGUCGUCAGCUCGUGUCGUGAGAUGUUGGGUUAAGUCCCGCAACGAGCGCAACCCUUAUUAUCAGUUGCCAGCAUUAAGUUGGGCACUCUGGUGAGACUGCCGGUGACAAACCGGAGGAAGGUGGGGAUGACGUCAAAUCAUCAUGCCCCUUAUGACCUGGGCUACACACGUGCUACAAUGGAUGGUACAACGAGUUGCGAACUCGCGAGAGUAAGCUAAUCUCUUAAAGCCAUUCUCAGUUCGGAUUGUAGGCUGCAACUCGCCUACAUGAAGUCGGAAUCGCUAGUAAUCGCGGAUCAGCAUGCCGCGGUGAAUACGUUCCCGGGCCUUGUACACACCGCCCGUCACACCAUGAGAGUUUGUAACACCCAAAGUCGGUGGGGUAACCUUUUAGGAACCAGCCGCCUAAGGUGGGACAGAUGAUUAGGG
rnacentral:rRNA from 2 species